AGUGAACGCUGGCGGUAGGCCUAACACAUGCAAGUCGAACGGCAGCACAGGAGAGCUUGCUCUCUGGGUGGCGAGUGGCGGACGGGUGAGGAAUACAUCGGAAUCUACUCUGUCGUGGGGGAUAACGUAGGGAAACUUACGCUAAUACCGCAUACGACCUACGGGUGAAAGCAGGGGACCUUCGGGCCUUGCGCGAUUGAAUGAGCCGAUGUCGGAUUAGCUAGUUGGCGGGGUAAAGGCCUACCAAGGCGACGAUCCGUAGCUGGUCUGAGAGGAUGGUCAGCCACACUGGAACUGAGACACGGUGCAGACUCCUACGGGAGGCGGCAGUGGGGAAUAUUGGACAAUGGGCGCAAGCCUGAUUCAGCCAUACCGCGUGGGUGAAGAAGGCCUUCGGGUUGUAAAGCCCUUUUGUUGGGAAAGAAAUCCAGCUGGCUAAUACCCGGUUGGGAUGACGGUACCCAAAGAAUAAGCACCGGCUAACUUCGUGCCAGCAGCCGCCGUAA
rnacentral:rRNA from 1 species